CAAGAAAGUGUUUCACUUUCUCUCAUGAACUCACUUGAAGCCUUCAUUAUGUUCAUAUUUUGACAGUUUCCAAGACAACAAGACCAUCCAACACUGUAUUGCCAGCUACUGUAGUACAACUGAACUCACUCACUCACCCAAGCAGCCGUUGUAGCCAUCCAUUCAUAGAAGAAAGUGAGAAAAAUAUCUUAAUCUGUGUAUAUAUUUUUACAAUCUCACUAAAGGGGGAUGAUUCACUUGGACAGCGGCACCUAUCUAUGUGUGGAUCUGAGACUGCUUCAAAGGAAGGUCAAGUGAAGUGAACCCUGAGUGUACUCUGACCUGCAAGGUCCUUGAGACAAUCACAUAUCAGCUUUCUAUAAUAUAAACAGAUUCACCUUCAUAUCUGUACCACCAUGCUUUGGAUUCAGAUCUCCAACAGUAUAUUGGAUUUCAACAUACAGAAAUCAGAUAUGCUUGUCUGGUUCACUUUCAGGUAGUGAGACAUGAGAGACUGUCAGAGUAUUACCUGAUGCGAAAGUGCAUCAGUUAUAUGUUGGUGUUGUGGGAUCUUCACAAGAACAGGUAUCAGGCCUAUGUUGGUGUCAUGAGAUCUUCACUAGAACAGGUGUCAGGCCUAUGUUGGUGUCGUGAGAUCUUCACUAGAAAAGGUGUCAGGCCUAGGUUGGUGUUAUGGCAUCUUCACUAUGAACAGGUAUCAGGCCUAUGUUGGUGUGUGGGAUCUUCACUAGAACAGGUGUCAGGCCUAGGUUGGUGUCAUGGCAUCUUCACUAGAACAGGUUUCAGGCCUAUGUUGGUGUUGUGGGAUCUUCACUAGAACAGGUGUCAGGCCUAUGUUGGUGUUGUGGGAUCUUCACUAAAACAGGUGUCAGGCCUAUGUUGGUGUGGUGGGAUCUUCACUAGAACAGGUGUCAGGCCUAUGUUGCUGUCAUGAGAUCUUCACUUGAACAGGUGUCAGGCCUAGGUUGGUGUCGUGAGAUCUUACUAGAACAGGUGUCGUGCCGAUGUUGGUGUUGUGAGAUCUUCACUAGAACAGGUGUCAGGCCUAGGUUGGUGUCGUGAGAUCUUCACUAGAACAGGUGUCAGGCCUAGGUUGGUGUUGUGAGAUCUUCACUAGAACAGGUGUUAGGCCUAGGUUGGUGUUGUGAGAUCUUCACUAGAACAGGUGUCAUGCCUAGGUUGGUGUUGUGAGAUCUUCACUUGAACAGGUGUCAGGCCUAUGUUGGUGUUGUGAGAUCUUCACUAGAACAGGUGUCAGGCCUAGGUUGGUGUUGUGAGAUCUUCACUAGAACAGGUGUCAGGCCUAGGUUGGUGUUGUGAGAUCUUCACUAGAACAGGUGUCAGGCCUAGGUUGGUGUUGUGAGAUCUUCACUAGAACAGGUGUCACAUAUAAGUUACAGAUCUAAGUUUAAUAUGAUUGAACUUUCAAGAUGAGUUCAUUAAAUAUCAAGCCUGAAAAGUAACUUCAUAACACAGUGUUAUUCAAAAUUGCCAGUGUGAAAUAGGUCCUGAGACAGCUAAGAUAAGACUCUGAGUUGUAGGAGGCAAUAUAUUUAGUUUCUCUUGUUACUUCAUGUUGUUUUUUCCUUUCAUAUUCCAUGUUUCACCAAAUUGAGUGCAAUCAUUUGUACAAAUUACUUUCAAGAGACCUGACCUCAUGUUAAAGUAUUUUCUUAAUGUUUUAUUUGUUCUUCCAUUGUUUUCAGUGUUUUUCUAAAUAAAGAUGUGAAAAAUCA